rnacentral:rRNA from 1 species
GUAUUUUGACCCGUGCAAAAGGUAGCGCAAUCACUUGUCUUUUUAAAUGAAGACCUGUAUGAAUGGUGGAACGAGGGCUUAACUGUCUCCCCCCUCUGGUCAAUGAAAUUGAUCUGCCCGUGCAGAAGCGGGCAUAAUUAUACAAGACGAGAAGACCCUUUGGAGCUUAAGAUAAAAGACCAACUAUGUCAAAAGUCCUAAAAAAGACUAAACCAAAUACCACUGGUCCCAAUCUUCGGUUGGGGCGACCACGGGAGAAAACAAAGCUCCCACGCGGACUGGGGAAACCCCCCAAAACUAAGAGAGACAUCUCUAGUGCACAGAACAUCUGACCAAAAAGAUCCGGCCAUAUGCCGACCAACGGACCAAGUUACCCUAGGGAUAACAAGCGCAAUCCUCUUCCAGAGUCCAUAUCGACAAGAGGGUUUACGACCUCGAUGUUGGAUCAGGAUAUCCU